CCCGACAUCAGCAAGCUUGGAGAGCUGGGU
rnacentral:piRNA from 1 species